rnacentral:pre_miRNA from 11 species
CAAAUAAUGAAUUUGGCAAGAUGUCGGAAUAGCUGAGAGCACAAAGUCAUAAAUCCAGAAUUUCUAUUUUGUGUAUUUUUAUUGAGUACAGCGGCUAUGCCUCAUCUAGUCAAUUGCAUUC